rnacentral:rRNA from 1 species
CCUACGGGAGGCAGCAGUAGGGAAUAUUGCUCAAUGGGGGAAACCCUGAAGCAGCAACGCCGCGUGGAGGAUGAAGGUUCUCGGAUUGUAAACCCCUUUUGUUAGAGAAGAUAAUGACGGUAUCUAACGAAUAAGCACCGGCUAACUCCGUGCCAGCAGCCGCGGUAAUACGGAGGGUGCAAGCGUUACUCGGAAUCACUGGGCGUAAAGAGCGCGUAGGCGGGAUAGCAAGUCAGAUGUGAAAUCCUAUGGCUUAACCAUAGAACUGCAUUUGAAACUGUUAUACUAGAGUAUGGGAGAGGUAGGUGGAAUUCUUGGUGUAGGGGUAAAAUGCGUAGAGAUCAAGAGGAAUACUGAUUGCGAAGGCGGCCUGCUAGAACGUAACUGACGCUGAUGCGCGAAAGCGUGGGGAGCAAACAGGAUUAGAUACCCCAGUAGUC